ensembl:lncRNA
UCCAGAACCACCACCCCUGGGUGCCUGGGAUUUCGGUAGCAGGCUGCCGGAGCGCUCUGCACUUGGCUGCUAACCUGCGUGCAACCCCACUUCAAAGCUGUCCCAUUUCUCAUAGAAGUUGUCCCAAAAAUGUGUGCACCCACAUCCUUUGCUACCCAAAAGCAGGAGCAGGGAGAUGUGUCCUACCCCAUUUUUGACACUGUCUCCCAUAACAUCCACACAGGUAAACUUAGGAAGUGUGGAAUAGACAAGUGGAGCAUCUCCUGUAUGAGAAAAGGCUGAGAGACCUGGGCUGUUCAGCAUGGAGAAGGGAAGACAGAGGAGAUCUUAUCAAUGCCUGCCCCAAAGGACUCAUGGGAAUGAAGGAAGCAAGCACUGGUUUUGGCUUUCCUCAAACAGAUAGCUCCAAGUGGCACCAAGAUCUAAAGAAAUCACCGUAAAAUGCAAUCCUUGUGCUAUUUGUGCUAUUCUCUUUAAUUUCUUCCCUGGAAUUCAGGGGUUUGCCCUCUGUGGGAGGCUGUUUUGUGCAGAACUUGGAAAGUUCCAGCCCUCCUCAGCAGUCCAGCUGGCCCUACAUCUUGAGUUCACCAAGCUCUCUGGAGGAUAUUCCAUUGCUGGGCUCCAUCUCCCACCUUUGGGCUAGUUUUUGGACAAAGCCUAAGCACUGCCCUCCAGCAGACCUGUGUCCAAAGGUUCUCCUGCCAGCAUGUUUUUUCCCACAUGGAAGAAAAGUGACAGCUGCCCUCCUGCCUGAACAGCUACAUGGCAGCCUGGGGACAGUACCUUCAUCCCUGCAUCUUCUGGAAACAAUCACAUGCAUUAAGGAACUGCAAGAAGGCUGUCGCCCUCUCAAGUUCUAAAUGUUUUUCAUGCACGCAGAAAGAGAAACCAUAAGGACGUGAAAAAAUAUAAAAGAAAAAAAGAAUAACCACAAGCACUAGUGAUGCCUUGUGCAACACAAGGAAGCCCUGAAGGAACAUUACAUCUUGGUGUGCCACCACAAGCUACUGCUGCAGCUCCCCAGGUGGGAUCUUCUGUCCCUCUUACUCCCACAUCCCAGCCACUGG